rnacentral:lncRNA from 1 species
GGAAAUGUCACUCAUAGAUAAAAUGCUAGGAUCAUAUAUGAUUAUUUGGAUACUUAUAAAACAUACACAUAAAUGAGAACUGAUUAAGGUGGGUUACUCAAUAACACGUGUCACAAUUUCAUAACAUAAAGUUAUCCUAAUCAAAGUGUUUUGCAGCGGAAAACGUGUAAGAUAUACAUAUGAAGAUGUAUACUCAAGGUUACAUUUCUUGAAAUGUCAAAGGAACACCCGCUCAACAUCAUUCCAUUCCAUCAACUGCUCAACCUG